GGUAUUAUAGCAUAGCGGUCAUGCAGAGCACUGUUAAUGCUCCUUACAGAGGUUCGACUCCUCUUAAUACCU
rnacentral:tRNA from 3 species